rnacentral:rRNA from 1 species
GUGCCAGCAUCCGCGGUAAUACCAGCUCCAGGAGUGUCUAUGAUGAUUGCUGCGAUUAAAAGGUCCGUAGUCGGGGGGCAGCACCUGUCUGCAAUGCGGGCGAUCAAGCGCCGAGCAGGACGGGCACAGCCCCGCACAGGAGCGAUCGAGGGCCAGACUAUUGUGCAGCGAGAGGUGAAAUUUGAUGACCUGCGCAGGAGUAGCAGCGGCGAAGGCGCUGGCCAGGAGCGUAUCCGAUGAUCAAGGACGUAGGCUGGAGGAUCGAAGACGAUUAGAGACCGUAGUAGUUCCAGCAGUAAACGAUGCCUACACUGCUGCAGACGCGUCUGCGGCAGACGAGAAAUCGAGUGGGGCUACGGGGAGAGUACGCGCGCAAGCGCCAAAUUUAAAGGAAAUUGACGGAAGAACACCACAAGGAGUGGAGUGUGCGGCUUAAUUUGACUCAACGCGGGACAACUUACCACGCCCGAUGGCCGUGUGAGCGCGUGCGCGAUAGGCCAGCGAGUGGUGCAUGGCCGUUAUCGACUAGUGGGGUGACCUCUGGGUUAAGUCCGCAAAGUAGUGAGAUCCCGGGGCCCGCCCAUUUUAUUAGAUGGGCGGCGUCGACAGGCGCGAGAAGCGCGGGAAGGACGGGGCAAGAACAGGUCAGUGAUGCCCUUAGAUGGCGUGGGCUGCACGCGCACUACAGUGGUCGCAGCAGGAGCUUUCAGAGUGAAUGCGAUCGAGAGGGAAUGCGCGCUGUAAGGUGCACAGGAACGAGGAAUUGCUAGUAGCCGCUGCCUCACCAAGGAGCGGCGAAUGUGUCCCUGUUCUUUGUACACACCGCCCGUCGUUAUCGAAGAUGGCGCCAGGCGCGAACAAACGCAAGCGCGUGAGUGCAGGGCGCUAGAUCUGAUACAAGUCGUAACAAGGCAGCUGUAGGAGAACCUGCAGCUGGAUCAAAU